rnacentral:rRNA from 1 species
CGGGGGACAGGGUGACAGGUGGUGCAUGGUUGUCGUCAGCUCGUGUCGUGAGAUGUUGGGUUAAGUCCCGCAACGAGCGCAACCCUCGCCUCUAGUUGCCAGCAUUCGGUUGGGCACUCUAGAGGGACUGCCGGCGACAAGUCGGAGGAAGUGGGGAUGACGUCAAAUCAUCAUGCCCCUUAUGACCUGGGCUACACACGUGCUACAAUGGGCGGUACAACGAGUUGCGAGUCGGUGACGGCGAGCUAAUCUCUUAAAGCCAAUCUCAGUUCGGAUUGUAGGCUGCAACUCGCCUACAUGAAGUCGGAAUCGCUAGUAAUCGCGGAUCAGCACGCCGCGGUGAAUACGUUCCCGGGCCUU